rnacentral:rRNA from 1 species
UACGUAGGGUCCGAGCGUUGUCCGGAAUUACUGGGCGUAAAGAGCUCGUAGGUGGUUUGUCGCGUUGUUCGUGAAAACUCACAGCUCAACUGUGGGCGUGCGGGCGAUACGGGCAGACUUGAGUACUGCAGGGGAGAUUGGAAUUCCUGGUGUAGCGGUGGAAUGCGCAGAUAUCAGGAGGAACACCGGUGGCGAAGGCGGGUCUCUGGGCAGUAACUGACGCUGAGGAGCGAAAAGCGUGGGGGAGCGAACAGG